GUCGUACGAUGAAGCCCAGCUUGCUGGGCGGAUUAGUGGCGAACGGGUGAGUAACACGUGAGUAACCUGCCCUUGACUCUGGGAUAAGCCCGGGAAACUGGGUCUAAUACCGGAUAGGAGCGCCUGUCGCAUGACGGGUGCUGGAAAGAUCUUUCGGUCAUGGAUGGACUCGCGGCCUAUCAGCUUGUUGGUGAGGUAACGGCCCACCAAGGCGACGACGGGUAGCCGGCCUGAGAGGGUGACCGGCCACACUGGGACUGAGACACGGCCCAGACUCCUACGGGAGGCAGCAGUGGGGAAUAUUGCACAAUGGGCGAAAGCCUGAUGCAGCGACGCCGCGUGAGGGAUGACGGCCUUCGGGUUGUAAACCUCUUUCAGCAGGGAAGAAGCGAAAGUGACGGUACCUGCAGAAGAAGCACCGGCUAACUACGUGCCAGCAGCCGCGGUAAUACGUAGGGUGCGAGCGUUAUCCGGAAUUAUUGGGCGUAAAGAGCUCGUAGGCGGUUUGUCACGUCUGUCGUGAAAGUCCGGGGCUUAACCCCGGAUCUGCGGUGGGUACGGGCAGACUAGAGUGCAGUAGGGGAGACUGGAAUUCCUGGUGUAGCGGUGAAAUGCGCAGAUAUCAGGAGGAACACCGAUGGCGAAGGCAGGUCUCUGGGCUGUAACUGACGCUGAGGAGCGAAAGCAUGGGGAGCGAACAGGAUUAGAUACCCUGGUAGUCCAUGCCGUAAACGUUGGGCACUAGGUGU
rnacentral:rRNA from 1 species